rnacentral:rRNA from 1 species
AUUGAACGCUGGCGGCAGGCCUAACACAUGCAAGUCGAACGAGUGGCGGACGGGUGAGUAAUGUCUGGGAAACUGCCUGAUGGAGGGGGAUAACUACUGGAAACGGUAGCUAAUACCGCAUACCAUCGGAUGUGCCCAGAUGGGAUUAGCUAGUAGGUGGGGUAAAGGCUCACCUAGGCGACGAUCCCUAGCUGGGCUGAGAGGAUGACCAGCAACACUGGAACGAAGACACGGUCCAGACUACUACGGGAGGCAGCAGUGGGGAAGAUUGCACAAUGGGAGCAAGCCUGAUGCAGCAAUGGCGCGUGUAUGAAGAAGGCAUUCGGGUUGUAAAGUACUUUCAGCGGGGAGGCGUUACCCGCAGGAGAAGCACCGGCUGACUCCGUGCCAGCAGCCGCGGAAAUUC